rnacentral:piRNA from 1 species
GAUAGAUCGUAGGAUAGCGUAGG